rnacentral:tRNA from 2 species
GCCGGAAUAGCUCAGUUGGUAGAGCAGGGGACUGAAAAUCCUCGUGUCACCAGUUCAAAU